rfam:Brassica napus, WGS project CCCW01000000 data, contig: 10046
GGAAUAUACGAAACUGUUUCUUAACUUUUAACUAAAAAAGUUAAGAACCGGCUCUUAAAUAUCUAACCGAUUAAUUAAGAGCCGAUUCUUAUCUUUUUUAGUUAAAAGUUAAGAUACAGUUUCUUAUAUUCC